rnacentral:rRNA from 1 species
UGCUUGCACAGCCUAGCCAAGGCGGACGGGUGAGUAACGCGUAAGGAACUUGCCCUGCAGUCAGGGAUAACAGACGGAAACGACUGAUAAGACCUGGUAAAGUCAGGCGGACUCAUGUCCAGCCUGAUGAAAUGAGAUGCUGCAGGAGAGCCUUGCGUCCUAUUAGCUUGUUGGUGGGGUAACGGCCCACCAAGGCGAUGAUAGGUAGCCGGCCUGAGAGGGUGGACGGCCACAAGGGGACUGAGAUACGGCCCUUACUCCUACGGGAGGCAGCAGUGGGGAAUAUUGGACAAGGGGGGCAACCCUGAUCCAGCAAUUCUGUGUGCACGAUGAAGGUUUUCGGAUUGUAAAGUGCUUUCAGCAGGGAAGAAAAAAAUGACGGUACCUGCAGAAGAAGCGACGGCUAAAUACGUGCCAGCAGCCGCGGUAAUACGUAUGUCGCAAGCGUUAUCCGGAAUUAUUGGGCAUAAAGGGCAUCUAGGCGGCCAGAUAAGUCUGGGGUGAAAACUUGCGGCUCAACCGCAAGCCUGCCCUGGAAACUAUGUGGCUAGAGUACUGGAGAGGUGGACGGAACUGCACGAGUAGAGGUGAAAUUCGUAGAUAUGUGCAGGAAUGCCGAUGAUGAAGAUAGUUCACUGGACGGUAACUGACGCUGAAGUGCGAAAGCUAGGGGGGCAAACAGGAUUAGAUACCCUGGUAGUCCUAGCUGUAAACGAUGAUUACUGGGUGUGGGCAUGAAGAGUGUCCGUGCCG